ensembl:lncRNA
GUGUAUCUUUUAUGGUUGUGUUUAACGCUCAACUUGUCUAGCGUGUGUUCGAGAGUUCCUGAUUGUUGGUUCAUUAGUGAUAAAAAUGGCUUCUGAAGAAGUGUCAUGGGAGAGCAUACGGCAGAGGAAACCCUGGACAAGGUGCCAACCCGUCGCAGGACGCUUUAGAGAUGCCAAUCAGCCUACACCAUGUCUCUGGACAGGGGGAGGAAACCGGAGUACCUGGAGGAAACUCCGGAUGCACAGGGAGCAUGCAAACUCCAUCAUUUUUGAGAACAAGCGGCGUGUGCUGCAAGUGGCGGUGGAGGAGAUGAUUGUUUUGCUACACCUGUCCAAACGGAUAAAACUCUGUGUGUGGCUUCUGUGGAGCAGUGAGAGAUCUGCCUGCUGGAGAUGAAAGAGGAGAUGCAGGUUAUCACUUUCUGGCCAGUGGUAUACGUGAGGGGAGGGGCAAGCAAGGCACACACAGCGAAGGACCCGGAGACAUGGACAUGCAAAUUAUCCUGCAGCUGGGCCAUGAACAUGAGCGAGAAGAAAAGGACGUUCUGAUCAAAGUUAAAAG